rnacentral:other from 1 species
UUAUCCCUGCGGUGUUCGAGAAUUUUCGAAGUUCUGUCCUUUACUCUUAAUUUUAUGGGAGUUGCCUUAGGAUAUCCUAUAUCAUGCCAGAGAUGGACGAUAGAAGAUGUUUUUGAAUUCCCACUUUAGCUAACAAAGGCUAAGAACUUCCACAAUACGGCACAGGUGGGGAUUUU